GACAUCCAGAGAACUUAGCAGAGAUGCUUUGGUGCCUUCGGGAACUCUGAGACAGGUGCUGCAUGGCUGUCGUCAGCUCGUGUUGUGAAAUGUUGGGUUAAGUCCCGNAACGAGCGCAACCCUUAUCCUUUGUUGCCAGCGGUUCGGCCGGGAACUCAAAGGAGACUGCCGGUGAUAAACCGGAGGAAGGUGGGGAUGACGUCAAGUCAUCAUGGCCCUUACGGCCAGGGCUACACACGUGCUACAAUGGCGCAUACAAAGAGAAGCGACCUCGCGAGAGCAAGCGGACCUCAUAAAGUGUGUCGUAGUCCGGAUUGGAGUCUGCAACUCGACUCCAUGAAGUCGGAAUCGCUAGUAAUCGUAGAUCAGAAUGCUACGGUGAAUACGUUCCCGGGCCUUGUACACACCGCCCGUCACACCAUGGGAGUGGGUUGCAAAAGAAGUAGGUAGCUUAACCUUCGGGAGGGCGCUUACCACUUUGUGAUUCAUGACUGGGGUGAAGUCGUAACAAGGUAAGCGUAGCGAG
rnacentral:rRNA from 1 species